rnacentral:sRNA from 1 species
ACGGCCCUUUCCGCCGUCUCGCAAACGGGCACUGGCUUCUGGAGAGGAUGUUCCGUGGCCGUAAGCGCAGGUACUAUCCGGUACUUGCUAUCGCGUCAUUAUCGCCAGUGGUGCUGCCGUGAUGCGGUCUUUGCAUGGACCGCGCAAUGAAACGAUACGUUUGUAUCGUGCUUAUUGUAACCAGCACGCUGUUUGCUCACGUUAACGAAGACUGGGAUCUUUCAGGCUACGCUUUUCGCAACGCAAUCAAUGUAAUGGGCAGGUAAGCCAGGAUGCCGCCCUGCGGGGCGGCCUUCCUC